UACUUCUGGCGUAGGAAGCGCCGCUCCAGCUCCAGCACCUGCGAGCGGGAGAAGGACGUGCGCGGCUUCUUCCGCUUCGGCGGGGUCCGGUUUUGGUAGGGGUGGCCUAUGCGGCGCGUCCCGGAGAAGGGCGAGAGAGCGGCUACAGGGAGAAAGCAAGGCAGCGUUUGGGGGCGGCCCGAGGUGUCGCUGAGGGCUCGGCUGCCCAGGCCGCGGAGCGCCCGCGCGUGGGGCUGCUGGGUGCCCAAGCUCGGCCCCGCAUCAGACAAAAAAGGGUCCCGGCAGAAACGGCCCUCCCCCUGAGUGAAGGAGAGACGUCCCCUAACUUCGCCCUGCCCUAGACAAAAAAGGGCCCCAGCACAAACGGCCCUCCCCCUGAGUGAGGGAGAGACGUCCCCUAACUUCGCCCUGCCCUCCCCGCGGUGUGGACAGUGGACUGCAGCGGAGGACGCGGGCAUCGACGGCAGCUCCCUCCCCAUCGCCUCUCAGAAGCGGGACGGAGAGAUACAAGUUAGGGGAAGAUGCCCUGGGAUGAUGGGGGGCUAUGAAAGGGGACCUUAAGUUGGAGCAGAAGGAUCAAAGAUGAGGAAACCGAGUCAGUGUGCGGCACGGCGCUGGAGGGGUCGGGUAACCUCACCCGUGAGCCGGUCCUUGGCAAAGCGGCGGCCGCUGUCCAUCCAAGGGAAGCCCCACCGGCUUCCUCGCAGGUGCCUCCUCCCACAGCCCCUAUUCUUCACCUCCCGAUGGGUCCUGCCUGCCGACUCUCGGAUUCGUUGUGGCCCCCGCCUAAGUGUCCUUGAAGACCAAAUCUCGUUGUGGCUUCCUGGCUGCGAUGGGAAGCUGUUGGGGAACGGCGCACCGGAGAGUUGGAGGCCAGGGAGGAGGACAGGUGUAAAGCAGACCCGUGGCUCAACCCGGGCCAAUGCAGGCCGGUGGGAGCUUGGGGCUGGCGUUCUGUCCCCGACAGGGGAGCACCAAUGCGGGAUUCUGCCCCUCCACUCUGCGCCUAGGAAAUCUAUUCUCACACACUCCCCCCAUCAAAGGCAGAAGGACGAAAUCGCCACAGGCGACACAUAGGACCUCACUGAAACCUUCGGAGGGUCCCAGCUGCUUCACUUCCCAUAGACGCUUCACCCCACCCAAAGUCCCAGAAACUGUGCCUGGAGCGUGUCAGAGAAGUGAGGUGGGGAAAGACCGAAGCUGCUCGGUGACCUUGUGACCUCUGGCUGCCGACCCAAAAGCUGGGAGUGUGUGAACUCUGCGUCCUUCCCCGGAAUGGGACCCCCGGCCGGGCGGGCCCCUGCGCCUUAGACCCGCCCCCGCCGCCGCCCGGCCCGGUGCAGGCCGCCAUAAUCGGGUUAGCUGGGUCGGAAUUACAUUACCUUCCCCGGCCCGCCCCGGCCCCGGGGGGGCCCUGGCGCCUCCGAGCCGGUGAGACUGGGCGCAAGGAGGGGGAUGUGCCUACCACCCAGUGGCGGGUGGGCACCGAUGAGCAGCUCGGCCUGCCUCUGACACGUGGUGGCCAAAGGACUCCGCCCCGCUGUGCCAGACCUAGCCCCUCACCCUAGCCCACACCGGUGCUCAGCUCCAGGCUGCCGGUUACCCGUGUGAACCGAAACGCCUUCUAAGUCUAGUAGAUGGGUCUCCCUGGGAGCACGGAUCUUCCAGGAUCUCCUGGGAAAGACUCUGCCCCUCUGUUUUCCCCAGCAGAUGGGCUGGCAGCCUGGUGCCUGGGGCAGGGUGAGAGGUCUUUUCUCUCCAGGGAACCAGGAAUGAUAUUUGGGCAUCUGGGAAGGAAGAGAAAGAAGAGAAAGAACGGAGUGGGCUUUCUCCCCACCCAAAGCCACCGGUGUUCAAAGAACACCUCAGUGUUCUCAGAAGCCUCAGUCUGAAGGGGGUGAGCCAUGGGGGAGGGAGGCACUGGGCAUUAAUAACAUGACAUCCUCCCCCAACCUGUCCACCUCCAUCAUCCAAUUUCUCCAGCCCUUCCCCCAUCCUGCCCCUUCUGAAAGAGGGGUGUGUGUGUGUGUGGGGGGGGCUCCUGCCAAUUUUGCAGCUGUGUUUUUGUCUUGGUGGAGAAGACAGACAUUAUCACCUCCCCUAGCCCUUCACAGAAGCCGGAGCACGCAUCUCAGCAGUGGAGGGGUGGGGCUACUAGGGAGCAUGAAACCUCUGCUGUUCAGGCAAAACCUCCAGAGAGGGUAUGGGCCACUGCCCCCGGAGGAAAACAGAGAGCCUAGGGAGACAGCAAAGUAGAAAAGGCCUCUGAAGGGGACUGGCCUGCAAGUUAGAAGUCUGUCUGUCCCUUUUCCCACUCUAGGGGGCGGGCCUCUGAGGAGAGGGUGGGCACUAGUGUGUUUCUAACCAAGCUGAGUAAGUCCUUCUUGAAUGAAUUAAUGAGUGAAUCAACGAAGGAGAAACAAGCAGCAGCAUGCAGACCUGUCUACGUGCUUCUAUGUGUACUGUACAUCCUGCCUUUUGAGGUCAGCACAGAUGGCACUGCCAUGCAGAGAUUGACCAACUGAUCCUUUGAGGACAAUGCUCACAAGCCCCCGGAAGUACAUACAGAUCUUUUGGGGAGUUAAAAGAAAAAAAAAUUUCAGUGCCCCACUUCAAGAACAAAAGGGUAUGCAGUUUUGUCAGCGGCAGUCCUAGGAAUUUCUCUGCUUGCCUCUGGCUCUCUGAUCCCCUGAUUUCCCAGAAAAGAGUGAUUCCUGCUAGUUUAUGUCUAAGAUGGAGGCCCUGGAGUUGGCGCCCCGCCUCCCACACACACCGCUUUGGAUCUGUCUCACCAUAUCCUGCGUGCAUGUGGCCCCUAAACUCUCCGAGUUUUCAGGCCUCCAAGCCUGCAGCUUCACAGGAAGAGGUCAAGUUCCCAGCCUGUGCUCUUGUACCUUCCCUUCCUUCCUGCUUUUGGUGCAGUGUCCUUUCCUCAAGAUGGUCCCCGCUCCUGUACCAUCAUUUCUCUCAUCAACUUAGUCUUUCCUACCCUCAACUGUCUUAGGCCUCUAUUAUCUGGACAAAAUCUUUGCCUGACUCAAGAGAAAUUGUUUUUCUUUUCCCUUGUACUGCCCCCACACACUGCCUCCAUUUCCUCACCACUUAUUCUUUAACCUAUGGCAAUCUGGCUUCACUACACUACCCUGACCCUUUCUCAGAGACUUCCAGUGUCCAUUAUCCAGGACUUCUAUGACAUGUUUUACUUUGUUGAUGACCAACCAUUUCUUAAAAUGCCCCUUUCGGUUUCUGUAAUAUUGUCUUAUGCUACAUCUUUGGACUUUCCUAGUCACUGCUUAUGUUUUCCCUCCAUUGCCUUUGCUUCUGCCACUGAAGAGUGAGCAUACUUCCGAGCUCAGACUUCAGCUUUAUCUCUCCCUACAUCUGCUCAGGUUUCAUCCACUCCAAUAGUCCCAUCUAGAACAUCUACCCAGAAAACUCUGAGACCUCCAUACCUGCUUCUGACACUUGUGCUCCAGCUCCUCUGUUCUAGCCUCCUGGCCAGCUCCAGCCUUCUGGCUCCUUUGCUGCAGCUACCUUAAGUGCAACAGGCUGGAGAACAUGCUCCCCCCGCCCCCAAGCUCCUCAUUCACUUCCUCCUAUUAUGCUUUCCUUUGAAGUGUUUCAUAUACAGCCCUUCCUUUCCAUUUCCACUGACAAAACCCUAAUCUAGGCUGUCAUCGCCACUAUCUACAUUCAUUCAUUCAUUUAUCCAGAAAAUUUUGAUUGAACACCUACUAUUCAUGUGGCCCUGGAGAUAUAGUUGUAGACACAACAGAAAAAAAAAUCCCCACUGAGAAACAUACGUUCGAGUGGAGGAGGCAGGUGAAAAACAAGAAAAAUAUAUAUUAAUAAUAAAUUCUAAGAAGAAAAAUAAAGCAAGGAAGGGGGAGAAGAAGUGAAAGGGUGGUGGGGGGUGUGAUUUAUCUAGAGUGGUCACUGAAGGCCUCAUUGAGUAAAGACCUGAAGUAAGAAAGGAUCCAUUUGGAUAUCUGAGCAUUUCAAGCUGGUGACAGUGGGAGUAUAUAUAUCCUGGUGUAUCUGUGGACCAAACAGUGAGGGGCUGUGUGUGACUGGAAGGACUGAGUGACUGUGAGAGACCAUGCAAGGCCUUGAAGAUCAUUGAAGGACUUUAGCUUUUAUUCUGAUUGAAAAGGGAAGUUACUUGAAGGUUUUAAACAAAAAAGUAAGACACUUGAUCGUUUAAUUUUAUUUUUAACAUUUUUCAAGGUAAAACUGACACAAUAAACUGCACAUAUUUAAAGCACAAUUUGAUAAAUUUUGACAUAUGUAUAGACACAUGAAACCAUCCCCACAAUCAAGAUAAUAAACUUAUCCAUUAAC